CAGCCGCCGCGGGAAUACGUAGGUGGCAAGCGUUGUCCGGAGUUAUUGGGCGUAAAGGGCUCGCAGGCGGUUUCUUAAGUCUGAUGUGAAAGCCCCCGGCUCAACCGGGGAGGGUCAUUGGAAACUGGGAAACUUGAGUGCUGAAGAGGAGAGUGGAAUUCCACGUGUAGCGGUGAAAUGCGUAGAGAUGUGGAGGAACACCAGUGGCGAAGGCGACUCUCUGGUCUGUAACUGACGCUGAGGAGCGAAAGCGUGGGGAGCGAACAGGAUUAGAUACCCGCGUAGUCCCUGUCUCUUAUAC
rnacentral:rRNA from 1 species